CAGCUUUAACACAUGAAGCUGUGAUUUGUCAUUAUCGACAAGCGGGAAUCACGAUGCAAAAUAGUAACAAAAUGUGAUCUAUUUGUUGUUUGGUUCGUUUUUAGACCUAACUGCUGUUUUAGUUUUUUUUUAAACUAUUUUGGUUUAGUUGUUUAAACUGUUUUAUAAAACCCAUCCACUAUGUUUUUCCAGAACGGAGGGGCUUCUCAAUGAUGGUCAACACAUUUCAUUAAUACUUGAAGCUCUGCGUAGCUCCGUAUUUAUUUUCGACACCAGAGCUAAUUUAAUUGUUUAACGAGUUUACUUCUCUGCACUCAUUCAGCACCUUCUCCCAAGGUCAUAAUCUAACAAAAUAAAUAGUUUGUUGUGUUGUUUCAUUUGUUGGUAUAUAUUUAUUUAAUUACAUACAUUAUACAAUAUUACAGAAGCAUGCUUAAUGAAAAAAAAAACAUUUUGAGUAAUUGGGACAGAUUUUACUGAUUGUGCGCAAAAUUCUAGCGCGCACAAUCACACACGUCCCUUUUAUCUCUCUCUUCACCUUUAGUUGAUCUCCAUCCAUCUCAAUAUUCCUGCUCUGCCUCAAUGGAUUCUAGAGAGGGUUUUUGUAACCUCCCCCCAUCCUGUCUCUGCUUGUUGAGUGCAGUUUUUCCUAACGGCUGUAUUUUGUGCAUGAUGAUGGCGGGUGGAUGGUGGGCCGAUGGGGGGCCGGGAGCUGCACUCGUCCUCACAACUGCUACCGGCUGAAAGCACAACACAGCAAUGUCGAACUGGAAAUCACUCACAGCUUUGUUCUUGUAGGGUAUCAAAAACUGAUAAUCCACGUUGCAUGAAUUAUGUAAUCAAUAAAGAAAUCGCUGAAAACGCUGUAAUUCCAGUGUACAACUGUAAUUUUAAUUAUUAGUGUUAACAAUGCAUGAAUAUAAUUGUAUUAAAUGUAAUGUGAUCAGCAAAUGCAUGCAUGUAAUACGUAAUAUAACUAUCUACAUUGACCGAGAGACAUUCAAAAUCCAAGUGGUGACCUCAGGCGGCCCACAGAGGAACUUAUGUCCGUCACAGCAAAAGCCGGUUUGCGCCUCGUAGAAGGAUCCCCGUCGUGGACGCAGUCGUCCUGACGUCACAUAUUGGUUUGUGGACAGAUGUUAUAAAGCCGCAAGUUUGGCUUUUUUUGACGCCACCAUCUUAGUUUUUACAACCAGUGACAGGACAGGAAGUGACCAUACUUGGACCGAGGAGGACUCUGGUAGAGACCUGUCAAUCAGCGUGUAGCCCCGCCCUAAAGCAUCACUUGCUUCUUCCAUUUAGAGUCAAACAGAGUCUGUUUGACUCUAAAUGGACCAUAAUUUACUAAAUGAACAUCAUACUGUAUUGAAAAAGACUUGGAACUAGAGUUUGAGAAAAUAAACUAAUGUUUACAAUGUUUACUGAGGUAACAAAUCAAGAGAGAAGUAGAGUAAUUUCCUCAUACGGGACCAGAGGAGUCGCCCCCUGCUGGUCAGGAGAAUCUAUUAUUUUACUUGGCCCAUAAUGAUCUCAGAGUGCGUCUCACCAAAUGUUACUCAAUGCUUUGUGCGAAUGCAUAUUGAGAUGCUAACAUGCUAACAAUAACAAGGCCGGCAAGCCAGCAUUGAAUAUGUAUGACAAUUACAUGUUUUUU
ensembl:lncRNA